AUACUUACCUGGCAGGGGAGAUACCAUGAUCAGGAAGGUGGUUUCCUCAGGGCAAGGCUUAUUGAUUGCACUUCGGAUGUGCUGACCCCUGCGAUUUCCCCAAAGGUGGGAAAUUCAACUGCUUGAUUUGUGAUAGUGGGGGACUGAGUUGGCACUCUACUCUG